CUACGGGGUGCUCCAGUCGAGAAUCUUCCGCAAUGGGCGCAAGCCUGACGGAGCAAUGCCGCGUGAGGGAUGACGGCCCUAGGGUUGUAAACCUCUGUCAGAAGGGACGAAGAACGUGACGGUACCUUCAGAGGAAGCCAUGGCUAACUACGUGCCAGCAGCCGCGGUAAUACGUAGAUGGCGAGCGUUAUUCGGAUUUACUGGGCGUAAAGGGUCCGUAGGGGGUCUGCCAAGUCUGAUGUGAAAUCCUGCGGCUCAACCGCGGAACUGCAUUGGAAACUGGCGGACUAGAGUGUGCGAGGGGUGAGCGGAAUUCCUGGUGUAGCGGUGGAAUGCGUAGAUAUCAGGAAGAACACCGAUGGCGAAGGCGGCUCACUGGCGCAUCACUGACCCUGAGGGACGAAAGCGUGGGUAGCAAACAGGAUUAGAUACCCUAGUAGUC
rnacentral:rRNA from 1 species